rnacentral:rRNA from 1 species
AGUGAACGCUGGCGGUAGGCCUAACACAUGCAAGUCGAACGGCAGCACAGUAAGAGCUUGCUCUUACGGGUGGCGAGUGGCGGACGGGUGAGGAAUACAUCGGAAUCUACUUUUUCGUGGGGGAUAACGUAGGGAAACUUACGCUAAUACCGCAUACGCCCUACGGGUGAAAGCAGGGGAUCUUCGGACCUUGCGCGAUUGAAUGAGCCGAUGUCGGAUUAGCUAGUUGGCGGGGUAAAGGCCCACCAAGGCGACGAUCCGUAGCUGGUCUGAGAGGAUGAUCAGCCACACGGGAACUGAGACACGGUCCAGACUCCUACGGGAGGCAGCAGUGGGGAAUAGGGGACAAUGGGCGCAAGCCUGAUCCAGCCAUACCGAGUGGGUGAAGAAGGCGUUCGGGUUGUAAAGCCCUUUUGUUGGGAAAGAAAAGCAGCAGGUUAAUACCCCGCUGUUCUGACGGUACCCAAAGAAUAAGCACCGGCUAACUUCGUG